rnacentral:rRNA from 1 species
GCGUUGUUCGGAAUUACUGGGCGUAAAGCGCACGUAGGCGGCUUUGUAAGUUCGAGGUGAAAGCCUGGUGCUCAACACCAGAAUUGCCUUUAAGACUGCAUCGCUUGAACGUCGGAGAGGUGAGUGGAAUUCCGAGUGUAGAGGUGAAAUUCGUAGAUAUUCGGAAGAACACCAGUGGCGAAGGCGGCUCACUGGACGACUGUUGACGCUGAGGUGCGAAAGCGUGGGGAGCAAACAGG